rnacentral:lncRNA from 1 species
AGGAUAGAAGAAUCGUGCGGUAUCCAUCGCAAGAAGGGGAGCAGGACCAUGGCCAUUAGUACGGCCUGCCAGGGAGUGAUGGAGCCUCAUGAAAUCCAUCGAAGGAGGUGGAGCAAGGUUGUGGAGUGGUGGAGCUGUGUGGAAUCCGUCGCAGGAGGUGGAGCAGGGUCAUGGAGUGGUGGAGCCGCGUGGAAUCUGCCGUAGGGAAUGGAGCAGAAUCGCGGUCGUUACUGCAGCGCGCCAGAGGGCGAAGGUCUGCUGGCUGAAGUCCAGCUAGAGUGUCUAGCGGAGAGAGGUAAUCAGCCGUCCGUC